rnacentral:rRNA from 1 species
GACGUAGGUGGCGAACGUUAUCCGGAAUCAUUGGGCGUAAAGGGUGCGUAGAUGGCCUGAUAAGUUAGCAGUGGGAAAUCGAGGCUCAACCUCGUGGAAGCUGGUAAUACUGUUAGGCUCGAGUGCAGGAGAAGUUAACGGAACUCCAUGUGGAGCGGUAAAAUGUGUAGAUAUAUGGAAGAACAUCAAUAACGGCGAAGGCAGUUAACUAUCUGUUACUGACGUUGAGGCACGAAAGCGUGGGGAGCAAAACGG